CCUACGGGGGACAGCAGUGGGGAAUAUUGGGCAAUGGGCGCAAGCCUGACGCAGCAACGCCGCGUGAAGGAAGAAGGCUUUCGGGUUGUAAACUUCUUUUAUCAGGGACGAAGCAAGUGACGGUACCUAAUGAAUAAGCCACGGCUAACUACGUGCCAGCAGCCGCGGUAAUACGUAGGGGGCAAGCGUUAUCCGGAAUUACUGGGUGUAAAGGGCGAGUAGGCGGCAAGGCAAGUCAGAUGUGAAAACCAUGGGCUUAACCUGAGGCCUGCAUAUGAAACUGUUUAUCUAGAGUACUGGAGAGGCAGACGGAAUUCCUAGUGUAGCGGUGAAAUGCGUAGAUAUUAGGAAGAACACCAGUGGCGAAGGCGGUCUGCUGGACAGCAACUGACGCUGAGGCGCGAAAGCGUGGGGAGCAAACAGGAUUAGAUACCCUUGUAGUC
rnacentral:rRNA from 1 species